rnacentral:sRNA from 1 species
ACAGAGUCUCCUUAGACGCGCGGUACGCC